UUUUAAGCUCUACUUAUUUUGUUUUUUUUUUGUGAACAAACUGUAAAUUAAAAUGUAUCGUCCACCCAUCUUUAUGGACCCUGGGGAGGAUAAGAGGCGUGCUUAUAGUGCCAUAGGAAAGAACUUCAUUUUUUUUGCUUGUGCUGUUGCUGCCAUUAAAAUGGUUCCGUAUGUACUUCAAAAAAUGAACCCCAUAAAGUAACUACGGUGCUGAGCUUGGAAUGGUUAUAAAGGAGUGCGGUACUGAAAAAAAUAAUCGUUCCAUAAUAAAAGAAAUAUUAGCUUUGUCGAGAUCGCGCCUAACAAUAUCUUAUUACUUUUGUUCUUACCAAACUUUUAAAUUUAAUUUAGAAUUCAUGUUUGAAUAAUAAAUCGAAAUUACCACUA